UACGGAGGGGGCUAGCGUUGUCCGGAAUUACUGGGCGUAAAGAGCUCGUAGGUGGUUUGUCGCGUUGUUCGUGAAAACUCACAGCUCAACUGUGGGCGUGCGGGCGAUACGGGCAGACUGGAGUACUGCAGGGGAGACUGGAAUUCCUGGUGUAGCGGUGGAAUGCGCAGAUAUCAGGAGGAACACCGGUGGCGAAGGCGGGGUCUCUGGGCAGUAACUGACGCUGGAGAACGCGAAAAGCGUGGGGGAGCAAACAGG
rnacentral:rRNA from 1 species